GGGCCGCUAGCUCAAUUGGUAGAGCAGCUGACUCUUAAUCAGCAGGUUCAGGGUUCGAGACCCUGGCGGCUCACCA
rnacentral:tRNA from 2 species